rnacentral:rRNA from 1 species
AGCGAACGCUGGCGGCAGGCUUAACACAUGCAAGUCGAGCGGGCCCUUCGGGGUCAGCGGCCGACGGGUGAGUAACACGUGGGAACGUACCCUUUGGUUCGGAAUAACGCUGGGAAACUAGCGCUAAUACCGGAUACGCCCUUUUGGGGAAAGGCUUGCUGCCGAAGGAUCGGCCCGCGUCUGAUUAGCUAGUUGGUGGGGUAAUGGCCUACCAAGGCGACGAUCAGUAGCUGGUCUGAGAGGAUGAUCAGCCACACUGGGACUGAGACACGGCCCAGACUCCUACGGGAGGCAGCAGUGGGGAAUAUUGGACAAUGGGCGCAAGCCUGAUCCAGCCAUGCCGCGUGAGUGAUGAAGGCCUUAGGGUUGUAAAGCUCUUUUGUCCGGGACGAUAAUGACGGUACCGGAAGAAUAAGCCCCGGCUAACUUCGCG